UUUGGCUGGGCUGGGUGUUUCAUCUUACACUUCCAGGUCAUCACUAAGGGAAGUCAGGCAGGCACACAAGGCCGGAAUCUGGAGGUGGGACCUGAAGCGGAAACCUCAGAGGAGGGUCGCGAACUGCAUUUUUAUCUCUAGCACUCUCAGUUGGCUCUCUUGGACCCCGGGACCACCUGCCCCCAAGUGGCACCGCCCACAUUUGGCUGGCCACUCCCACGUCAAUCCUUAACCCAGAAAAUUCCUCAGAAAUAAGCCGACAGGCCAGUCUAAUUCCUCAGGCCUGAGCCGUCUCGAACAGACCAUGUUACACUUCAAGGAGUUCUUUAUUCCAUCUCCUUUAUCAGCAUCCAAAAUUCGCGGACCAGUGUGAAUACACUGCAGAACUCACCGGGGACCUCACCCUCCUAUUAUCUUUCACAAUAGCACAGUGGAAAAUACCAGGCCACAGACAAUGGCCACCUAAGAAAGCAAGACCGAGGUUAAACAAGAGGAUCCUUCUCUGAUUGGAGCCAGGGAAGUCGAGGGCUAUGGUUACUUGGAUAUCUGCUCCUCUGUGAAAAAGCAACGUCUGGAGAGACAUCAGCCAAUGUUCUAACCUCUUGAAGUGAGCUGCUCUGAGGAGUGUAAUGAACCCUGACGAGAAAAAUGAACCUAUAAGGCCAAAAUACUAGGUCACCCACAAUGGACAUGAAACAGCAGACAGAGGCUGCUUCUCCAAGAAGAGAAGACCAUUUAGGAUCUGUCGCUGAGAACUCAGAACAGACCCACCAGUGCCAUUUCUGAGGCCGCAGGAUCUCCUGUAGCCUGGGAAUGUCCUUAAACUCUGUGUACUUGAACAUGAUCUGGGACUUCCAGUCUUCCUAGGUCCUCCUCUCCUCCCAAAGGUGGGAUUACAGGUGUGCGUCAUCACCCCCAAGGCUUCAAGGGAUCAAACCCAUGGCUUCCUGCAUGGCCAGCAAGCACUCUGGCCACUGAGCUACACCUUCAGCCCCUGUUUUGUUGUUGGUCUGUUUGUUAGUGUAUGGUAAAAUUUCCUGUAGCCAAGGCUCACCUUUCACUCACUGUGUAACCAAGGAUGACCUUAAACUCUUGAUUCUGUGUUUGUCACCCAGAUGCUGCCGUAUCUUAUUAAUAACUGAUCUUAUUAAUAACAUAAUCUGUUAAGUCUCUCACUGGCAUAUCCCCAAACAAAAGCCACUGAUCUCACCUACUUCCAAAAAUAAACAGCACAUCACAAUGUUCUUAUAAAACCCUGUUUAUAAGAACCUCGUAGGAAAGGCAAAUCCAGUUUACAUCCUCAUAGGAAUGCUCCCUUCUCAGGCAGCUUAGAAUGGACAUGAAACAAUUUUAUCUUCUCAAUGUUGCUGAAUGUUACUCUCGCCCCUCCCAUCUAUCUCUUCUUCUUCUUCUUCUUCUUCUUCUUCUUCUUCUUCUUCUUC